UACGGGGGGGGCAAGCGUUGUUCGGAAUUACUGGGCGUAAAGGGCGCGUAGGCGGCCUUCUAAGUCGAACGUGAAAUCCCCGGGCUCAACCCGGGAACUGCGUCCGAUACUGGGAGGCUUGAAUCCGGGAGAGGGAUGCGGAAUUCCAGGUGUAGCGGUGAAAUGCGUAGAUAUCUGGAGGAACACCGGUGGCGAAGGCGGCAUCCUGGACCGGCAUUGACGCUGAGGCGCGAAAGCCAGGGGAGCAAACGGG
rnacentral:rRNA from 1 species